CCCUGGUUAGCCCAGUUGGUAGAGCGCUCCACUGGAAAUGGAGAGGCUCCGGGUUCGAUACCUGGACCAGGCG
rfam:Ixodes scapularis strain Wikel colony gcontig_1108378735436, whole genome shotgun sequence.